rnacentral:lncRNA from 1 species
AAUGCUUCAAGUAUUCACGUUCAAUUAUACUCCAGGUUUGGAGUCCAGAUCUACGAUAAAAAUCCAAUUUGAGAACUUUGAAACACGAGUAAGAUUCGAAACUUAAACGUUCCGUUCAUUAAGAAUCAUCCAAUUGAAAUUCAUUUGAAAGACAUUCGUGAAACACUUGCUUGCUUUUCAAAUCGUAAGGUUUUUGUAGCAUAUAUACUUGGAAACAACACUUGAGUUGAAAGUACAAGGAAAUACAAGUUUACAUUGGCCAUUAUAUCUUUUCCACAAGGUACAAGUUCGUUUAGGUUUUUAACGUAUAACCCUCGAUAACAAAGCAGCAAAGGUGCUCGCUAGUUCAAGUGAUAAUCACUUAACCUUUACACAAGUUACAAGUCUCGUUUCCUAGUUCUCGAGUGUAAAUUCGGGCAGCAUGCCCUUUGUGUUUACCAAAUUUUCCAGCCAUUUCGGCUUCAAUCCUUACACAAUCCAACCCAACAUCACCCACAAUAUAAUUUCAGUUCAUUAGCCAUUCCAUAGGCUCACAACAACUUACGAACAAAGAUUAAGCUAAUAUCAAGUGCGGAAAUGAAACUUAUCAAAAGACAGUUUUGACGGGUUUUGCGGAAAUAACACAUCUGAGGCUACGUUUAUCAGAUUGAUACGUAGCUUAUACCAUUUCGAAGUUAAGACGAAGGCCUACAACUUUCAUGAAGAGCACUCAGUCAAAUUUUCAAUGUAACCUGAUCAAAUUCCCAACUCAUGUAACAUGGUUUCAACUAUUCGGCUAAUCAACUACACUGUACUCAAAUGACCAUAUCUCAGUCUACCGAGGUCCGUUUAAUACGUUCUUGGUGGCGUUCAAAGCUAAGACAGGGCACUAAAACUUUCAUGUUUUAAUAAAUGACUAAAUCCGAACGGAUUAUGGUGAAUAAACUCAAUCAAAAGGACUGAACUGUCCACGCGGAACUCUGGAAAGUGACCUAGAUCAGCGAGGGUAUUUUCAUCUUUUCACAAGCUACGUUGCUCCGAUUGAGUUGAAAUUUUGUAGGAGCUAUAAAAUACCAUUCCCUACAACUUUCAUGUUUUGACCUAAGGCCAAUUUGGCCUCUAACAUGAGGCAACAAAAAUGGCAGAAUAGGAUGAAAAUUUCCAGAAAUCUGAAAUCUUUUGGUUUCAAUGAUAGUUUUCAUAAUUUCUUGCUACACUUGCUACCAAAACCCCCUAUAUAACCUUAUAUACAACAUAUACUAACUAUAAAACAAGUUUAGGCAGAAAUUAAUCAAACUCUAACUUACAUAUUUCAUCCAAAAAUCACCACAACAACUUGCAGCACUUGUAAUCAAACCCAAAACAUGGACUAUUUAACAUCUUAAACAAGAAUAAAAGGAUCAAAGCCAUAGAUCAGAUUUUAUACCUCAAAAAGAAGGCUUGCAAGAGUGAUCCUCCACUAUUUCUUGAAAUUUUUGGUUCUCUUAGCUUCCCAAGCUUCCAAACUUACGUUCAAUCGGUUUAGAAUUCGAUUUUAGCACUUGGUUGGUGUAAAUCAAGAAGGAAUUUGUUUUCUCUUCCUCUCCCUUUCUCUCUCUCUCACUUGGCUAAGAUACAGAAAAUAAUGAAGGAGAUUAAGCUAAGUUUGUCUUAUAUGAAGGUAGAAAGAUAAGAAUUAAUUCUAACCACAAGUUUGGCCAACACUUGGCUUAACCUCAACCACAAAAAUUUUCUCUUUCCUUCCUUGCAUUUGAGCCACAAAUUUCGGUCAAGCUUAGCUGUAAAUUAGGAGAUAUUUUGCUCAAAUAUCAAUAAACUUGUAUGGUAAGAAAGUGGUGGUCAAGUGGUGCUUUCAAUCGGUAGUGCGCGGGACCCGCCGGUUCGCGCCGUUUUUCUUAAAAACACACGUACUAGGGUUUUUACUUCCUAUUCACCAACCUUAUCUCAUUGCUCCUAAUCACAUAUUAUUUCUCACUUAAGAGUCACUUUUAAUCACCAAAUUUGAUCCUUGCUCCGUACCGAAAAUUCAUCCGGCGGCCCUAAUUUUGCUCCAAUCUUGAAUCCAAAAGUGAAACCCUACUUUCUAGGUUCAUUGGCACUUAUUGUGGGGUGAUUGAGUAGUAGGGCCAUUAUAAAGUAGUAUUUGUCAAAGAAAAGGGAAUUUUAAGAAAAAUAUAAGGGAAUUUGCACGGCUUCUGGCCGGAUUCUCCACAAAACACUAUUCACCAGAAAUUUUUCCCUUUUCUUCUGCCUCGGGGCGUCACAAACUCCCCUCCUUAAAUGAAUGUCGUUCUCGACAUUCCAACUUGUACUAAUUAGAUCAAAAUAGUUCUCGAAAGUUGAUCACGUAUUAAGAAUCAUUUCAAUCUCGCGUAUCAUAAUCAAAUACUAAUCAGAUCAAAUAUCUCAAAGGUCAAUCACAUACUAAGAAUCACUCAUCACAAUCAAGUACUAAAAGUACUCCAAUCCAACUUAUCAAAUAAUCUUGAUCAAAUAGAUAGUCAGACGAGUAACUGGAUACAUGUACAAAAGGCUCGAAAUCGGACUUAAAGUCCCUGAUAUUUGGAAAAACAAUCCAGGACAUAACGAUGUCUCAGGUCAGAAAUUACCCCUGGUGGUGCUUGAAAACACAACAAACUAGCACUAUGGCUAAGCUUCACCAGAGUCUCAGAUGUAGGAUUUUGUCCAUGGCGGUGCUGGACAACAAAACAGGUUAGCACAACGGCUAUACCUCGCCAAAGGACCUCAGUUCAAAAUUUCAUCCUUGGUGGUGCUUGGUAACACAACAAGUUAGCACAACGGCUAAACUUCACCAGAGGAUCUUAGCUCAAGAAAUUGGCCCUGGUGGUGCUUGGAAACACAACAAACUAGCACUACGGCUAAGCUUCACCAAAGAGCCUCAAGUCAAAGCUUCAUCCCUGAUGGUGCUUGAAAACACAACAGGUAUGCCUCGCCAGAAGAAUAGCGGUGCUUGAAAACACAACAGGCCAUACCUCAUCAGAGAGGUUCUGUUCAAGAAUUUCAAUCCCUGAUGGUGCUUGGAAACACAACAGGUAUGCCUCACCAGAGAGGUUCUGUUCAACCGCUACAAAAGAGUAGUAGCCGGUCUAUAACCAAACAAGUACGAAAAUGUUCAGAAACAGAGUCAAAAGCAGGGUUCAAGUGCAUCGGUUCAAAAGUAGGGUCAAUUAUUUCAGAUUCAAAGAACAUGAAUACGAGUAGGGACUCACUUGCCUAGCUUAUGCCCAGUAAUUCACACUCUCAAGCAGUCAUCAAACUCAAAUCCACAUACAGAUCAUAUAUGAAUCAAGAUACUCGCUCAAGAGUAAAAGAGAUACCCUAUUUUCAGUCAGGUCAGGUCUAUCAAGUGUACGUAAGGGUACACUAGCCGAUACAAAUUCAAGUCUCAAAUGAGCUCAGUCUAGUCGGUCUUAGACAGUUCAAAUAUCUCAAAUCUUAACAUUUACCACUCGGGUGGUAUAACCUUAAUCAAACAGGAAAAUUAGAAGAAAAAUGCAAACCAAAACUUUUCUCAACAAUUCCGGCCACCACCAUAGUCUAUCAAAACCCUAGCCAAGAAUCCAAAACUAAGAAACUGUGCAGCUCAGGCCGUACGCUCACAAGCGUAAUUCAACCAAAUCAUAUCUUACGCGUACCACUUUCAAGAUUCACAACUGACGCUCCAAAAGAGCACUGAACGUACAAACCAAUCCUAAAGUCUGGCAUCCUAAACUUUAAGCCUAGGAUACACUAAAAAGAUCUGAAACCUAAGCUCUGAUACCACCUGUGACGACCCCACUUCCCCCUAAGGCGUACCAAAGGGUUCGGCGGAUCGCCUGCCCAGCUCUCGCCAGGACUCACUCACUAUGGAACUCGAAUCUUGUACACACAUUCAUGAACCAUAAAUAACAUCCAAUUCUCCAAAAAUUACAUAUUAUAAGCGAAGCGGAAACUAGUUCUAAGCGUAGAAUGUAGAUAUACAUCGGAUUCAAUUCCAAAUAUUUAUACAGGCUCAAAAGUACAUAAACCAAAACCAAAUCUAAACUAUACAAGGUAUACGCUAUCCAGUCACACAAAGAUCCAAAUACAAGAUCUCCUUUACUUCGAUCCCUGUGGGGAAAAGAAGAUAAUAGGGGAUGAGCUAGAAGCUCAGUGAGUGACCAGUAAAAUCAGUAAGCAAAUAUAUUUCACAAUAGUGUAUUUCAAUGAUGUCAUGAUUCAGAGAUGGAAUAUACAUUUAUUGCUCACGAGAGCCAGUGAAAUUCUUGUACUUAAAUAUCCAAUGCUCGUUUAGAUCAGGUAACCGUGAAACAAAAGUAAGGAGCCAUCGUGUUCCAAAGAAUGUGUAAACAGUAGUGGAAACAUUGGUUCUAAGCACAAGACUUUCCAGGAACUCAUUGGAGCCAAAUUAUGUCAUGGCACACACCCGAACCCCAAAUGAUAUGCAAUGGAGUAAUAAAUUCAAGAAUUAGUUCAACAGCAACUUUGGAAACAGUUGAGGGAUCACUCACCCAAAAUAUAAUGCUUCAAGUAUUCACGUUCAAUUAUACUCCAGGUUUGGAGUCCAGAUCUGCGAUAAAAAUCCAAUUUGAGAACUUUGAAACACGAGUAAGAUUCGAAACUUAAACGUUCCGUUCAUUAAGAAUCGUCCAAUUGAAAUUCAUUUGAAAGACAUUCGUGAAACACUUGCUUGCUUUUCAAAUCGUAAGGUUUUUGUAGCAUAUAUACUUGGAAACAACACUUGAGUUGAAAGUACAAGGAAAUACAAGUUUACAUUGGCCAUUAUAUCUUUUCCUCAAGAUACAAGUUCGUUUAGGUUUUUAACGUAUAACCCUCGAUAACAAAGCAGCAAAGGUGCUCGCUAGUUCAAGUGAUAAUCACUUAACCUUUACACAAGUUACAAGUCUCGUUUCCUAGUCCUCGAGUGUAAAUUCGGGCAGCAUGCCCUUUGUGUUUACCAAAUUUUCCAGCCAUUUCGGCUUCAAUCCUUACACAAUCUAACCCAACAUCACCCACAAUAUAAUUUCAGUUCAUUAGCCAUUCCAUAGGCUCACAACAACUUACGAACAAAGAUUAAGCUAAUAUCAAGUGCGGAAAUGAAACUUAUCAAAAGACAGUUUUGACGGGUUUUGCGGAAAUAACACAUCUGAGGCUACGUUUAUCAGAUUGAUACGUAGCUUAUACCAUUUCGAAGUUAAGACGAAGGCCUACAACUUUCAUGAAGAGCACUCAGUCAAAUUUUCAAUGUAACCUGAUCAAAUUCCCAACUCAUGUAACAUGGUUUCAACUAUUCGGCUAAUCAACUACACUGUACUCAAAUGACCAUAUCUCAGUCUACCGAGGUCCGUUUAAUACGUUCUUGGUGGCGUUCAAAGCUAAGACAGGGCACUAAAACUUUCAUGUUUUAAUAAAUGACUAAAUCCGAACGGAUUAUGGUGAAUAAACUCAAUCAAAAGGACUGAACUGUCCACGCGGAACUCUGGAAAGUGACCUAGAUCAGCGAGGGUAUUUUCAUCUUUUCACAAGCUACGUUGCUCCGAUUGAGUUGAAAUUUUGUAGGAGCUAUAAAAUACCAUUCCCUACAACUUUCAUGUUUUGACCUAAGGCCAAUUUGGCCUCUAACAUGAGGCAACAAAAACGGGCAGAAUAGGAUGAAAAUUUCCAGAAAUCUGAAAUCUUUUGGUUUCAAUGAUAGUUUUCAUAAUUUCUUGCUACACUUGCUACCAAAACCCCCUAUAUAACCUUAUAUACAACAUAUACUAACUAUAAAACAAGUUUAGGCAGAAAUUAAUCAAACUCUAACUUACAUAUUUCAUCCAAAAAUCACCACAACAACUUGCAGCACUUGUAAUCAAACCCAAAACAUGGACUAUUUAACAUCUUAAACAAGAAUAAAAGGAUCAAAGCCAUAGAUCAGAUUUUAUACCUCAAAAAGAAGGCUUGCAAGAGUGAUCCUCCACUAUUUCUUGAAAUUUUUGGUUCUCUUAGCUUCCCAAGCUUCCAAACUUACGUUCAAUCGGUUUAGAAUUCGAUUUUAGCACUUGGUUGGUGUAAAUCAAGAAGGAAUUUGUUUUCUCUUCCUCUCCCUUUCUCUCUCUCUCACUUGGCUAAGAUACAGAAAAUAAUGAAGGAGAUUAAGCUAAGUUUGUCUUAUAUGAAGGUAGAAAGAUAAGAAUUAAUUCUAACCACAAGUUUGGCCAACACUUGGCUUAACCUCAACCACAAAAAUUUUCUCUUUCCUUCCUUGCAUUUGAGCCACAAAUUUCGGUCAAGCUUAGCUGUAAAUUAGGAGAUAUUUUGCUCAAAUAUCAAUAAACUUGUAUGGUAAGAAAGUGGUGGUCAAGUGGUGCUUUCAAUCGGUAGUGCGCGGGACCCGCCGGUUCGCGCCGUUUUUCUUAAAAACACACGUACUAGGGUUUUUACUUCCUAUUCACCAACCUUAUCUCAUUGCUCCUAAUCACAUAUUAUUUCUCACUUAAGAGUCACUUUUAAUCACCAAAUUUGAUCCUUGCUCCGUACCGAAAAUUCAUCCGGCGAAAAUCGCGAAAACCCUAAUUUUGCUCCAAUCUUGAAUCCAAAAGUGAAACCCUACUUUCUAGGUUCAUUAGCACUUAUUGUGGGGUGAUUGAGUAGUAGGGCCAUUAUAAAGUAGUAUUUGUCAAAGAAAAGGGAAUUUUAAGAAAAAUAUAAGGGAAUUUGCACGGCUUCUGGCCGGAUUCUCCACAAAAUACUAUUCACCAGAAAUUUUUCCUUUUUCUUCUGCCUCGGGGCGUCACAGAAAUCAAGUAGAUUGUUGCCUAAUUGAUAUCCUUAGAUGUGAACCAACGAACAUAUUCUUACAGCUCUAUCUGUUGGUACUUCAUCCCAUAUUCUUACAGCUCUAUCUGAUGGCUAUAAGUUUUACGUUGCAGAUGGAAUCUUAGAAAUCACACAUGACAAGAUAGUUCUGAGGAUGUGAAGAAGCAUGGUGAUUUUACCACUUGAUUACCUCAAUGGUCAGAGAUAGAGCUCAUAGAAAGGGAUCCCAAAUUGCAAGUGGUGGUGAGAAAAAAUCCUGUAAAAGAAGAUGAUAAAUUGAAACACUUUCUUACGAGACAAUAAGCAGUUAGACUCAGGGUAACUGCACAGAUUCAUUUGUCGAUUGAAUUAAUCGGAUGUCAGGAUUGUAUUGAUUCAGAUGUGUAGUUCAGUACCAUAUUAUUUAGUAGUUGAAGGCAAAUGGUUACUAAAAAAAUAUUCAUUAAAGUGGAGAUUUGUUAGGAAAUUAAUUUAAUUUCUUUUAGCAGGUUUUUUGUGUGUUGAAGUAAUUAGUUUUCUAAUUGAUUUUACUUACUUGAAAUAGUAACCAAGGAAUUUCCUAUUUGUAUAAGGUUAGAAAUUAGAAAAUAUUUCCUAUUCUGUAUCAAUUAGAAAUUACCAAUUAUUUCCUAUUAUUACUUGGAUGUUGACCAAGUAAUAUAGCUUAUACGUAGGUAGAGUUUAGUAUACUAUAAAGUGACACAUAAGGGCGACAUGUAACUUUAUGCAUGGAGUGAGAGAGCGUUCUUGAAAGAUAAGAGAAGGUAUACAAGAGUUGAGAUUGGGUUCAAGUUGUAUUCUUGUAUAGGGUUUCCUCCAUAAUAAAGAAUGGAUUUCUCACAGUGAACAUAGACUCAAUGAUAUAGUCGAGCCAUGUUAAUCUUAUGUGUCAUUUAUCUUUCAUGUUUGGGACUUAUUUUUCAUUAAAUUGUUGUGUGUUUGAUGUUUCAAUAGUUGUUUAUUCCAUGCUUAAAUCUCAACAGUAUAAUGCAGGAUCUAGAGCUGUACUGAAAUGAGUUAUUUUGAAUGGUGAUUUAUUCGCAACGGAUCUUUUGUGUCACUGUGACGGCCCCACCUCCUUCUAGGGUAUACCCUAAAAGUUAGGGGAUCGUCUGCCUGGCUCUUGCCAGGACUCAUUAAUUUCAUAUUAACUUCAGAGAUAAUAUUGUGGUAUACUAAAACCACAUAUUCAAAUCUUUUACAAUGCCAAGUUUAAUACAAAACUUCAACCAUAAUAUGAUACUAAAGGAUUUACAAUUACAAAAGUCUUCACAUUAACUCCCUAAGAUCCCUCGUUCAUUCCCCUACCACCAACUCCUGUAAGGAAAACAAAGCUGAGGGGAUGAGCUUACGCCCAGUGAGGUUUCCAUGCAAGCAACGAUCAAUAAACACUUAAACCAGAUAAGCCAGUAACAAAAUUAAGCAACUAAGGAACACUUCACUGAAUAAAGUAGAGAACACUUCAUUGAACAAUCACUUUGAAAAGGAUACGGUGCUGGCAUUAGAGCCACUUCCUUCUGGGAGUUAGUUCAAUAUCAUUGCACACUCAUUUCAAUGUCAUUGUUCAUUUAUUUCAGUGUCAUGAGACACUCAUUUCAAUAUCAUUGCAUACUCCGCCAAUUCACCUCCUUAUGUCCUCCAAAAUAAUAAACAAUCCCCUGCAUUCAAUGAUUAGUUUAAUAAUCUCCCAAUUUCAAGAUAAUACUCGAGUAUAUCGAAACAUUUACCCAAAGCUUCCAUCCUAUCCGACCAAGCCCUUUGCUGGCUCGAAUAGUCCGUUGAACAGAGGGUUUUGAGGCCUAGUUCAGCCGAUGUGGUAAAGUACACACACGGCUUACAGUCAUGCACACUUACAAUAACACUUGAUCAAUUAGCAACUUUCAAGCUCAAACUAAGUCAAGUGCGAUAAAGUACACACCCGACUUAGAAGGCGAUGGACAAUUGACAUAUACUUUACAAUGAAUCACUAGCAAUAUUCCAUAAUAAGCACAUUUAUCAUAUAAUUUCAUUUAAGCAAACAUAAACAGUUAAACACAUAAAUUCGGAAACACUCACCAAAUAUCCAAAUAAAUUACUCUCGAGCCUCGGAUUUGUUUUCUGGCUCAUAGCUAUCCCCUGAGACAAUUUAUAACUCUAAAGUAAAUAUACAAUUCAUAGAUCACCACUUAUCAUUUAUUACCUUUUAUGAUUUAAACUAUUAAAGUCAAGUUUUGGCUUUAAAACAUAAAAUAUAACAUAUUUUAUAUUUAUUUUACAUUUUUUUUCAAAAUUUAUUAAUUUUAUUAUUUCAAACCAAGAAUUAUACAUUUUUCCCAAGUUUGUAUCUUUAUAUAAUAUUUAAAUCAGGAAUAUAUCUUUCUCAAUUCAAUUUUCAUUAAUUAUGGCUUAUAGACACUCCAUUUGUUCCCUUUUAAAUCAACUAAACUCUAAGUUGUUUGUAAAUUAAACUUUUUAUUCCACUACACCAGCCCCUCAAGUUCUAAAGUCUUUAAAAUAUUCAUGAAGACAAUGUUAAGUUAUUGUAGACACCAAAUUUUUAAUUUAGUUUUAUUUACUAUUAUUUUUAUUUUCAUUGAUUAAAUGUUAAUUAUUAUUAUUCAUUUUUAGUCUCUUAGUUUUUAUUUUUAGUAUUUAAAUUUCAGAAUAAGAAAAUUUUCACAAAAAAAGUUGUUUUAAUCAUUUUGGAUUCAAUUUGAAAAAUAUAUAUAAUUUUGUUUCUUUACUUAAAUAAAUUUUUGAAAGAAAAAAUACAAAAAAAAAUAAAAUAAUAAGGAAGAAUGUGUGAAUAGGUGUAAACUUGCAUGUGAGACAAGUGUCCCUUUAUGUAUUUGACAACACACCACCUAGAAGGUGAGGUGUUGAGACACUUGGAGGCCUAAGAUUUGAAGGAAAAGAAAAAACAAAAAGAAAAUAACGAAAAGGGAAGGAGAUGUGGCGGCUAGGGUAGAAAAAAAAGGCAACAAGAAGAAAAAUGGGGGGAUGCUAGAAAAAUGGGGAGCUUCGUCUGAGAGCCAAAAAAAAAAAAGAAUAGAGCAAAAGGAAAAAGAGUGAGAAAAACAGAGAAAAAAAAAGGGCGGCGGACGAGAGGGAAAAGAAGAGGAGUGCAAGAACUGAAGAACAGGGGAAGAGAAGGGGGAACCUGAGAAAUUUGGAAAGGAGCUUCAGAGCUGAAAAAAGAAAAAAAAUAGAGGGAAGGAGGGAGAAUCCGGGAAAGAAAAAGAAAGAAAAAAAAAACAGAGGGGAAGUGAAGGAACAUUAGAAGAACGAGGCGGGUUCAUCAGAAGAGCCACCGGAACCGCCGCCGCUCGCAAGAAGCUGCCACCACCUCACCGGAAUCCAUUGUCAUUGCCUACGGAUUUUCACCGAGCAAGAGGAUUGUAAGCCAUCUUUUUCCCUUUGAAUAUCAGUUUUUUUUCUUCAAGCACAAACGCUGGAAAUCCCAAAGCAUGUCUUUUGUGAAUUUGUUAUUGCAAUUUUCCUGUUGAUUGUCUAUAAUUUUUUGAUCGCACACGCUUUAUGGGUUAAUUGGACUGAAAUCCCUUGUUUUCUGACUAUUUUGGGGCUGAUUGUAACUUCAAUUAAGCAAACAAUAGGUGGAUUUUUUAAUGCCCAUUUGUUGUUCGAUGAAAUGCCUAAUUGAAAGUUUUACUUGAAAGACGGCUCAUCUGCGUUUUGCGUGUGGAAAAAAAUGAACAGAGAGCAAGUUCAAUGUUUGUCAAAACAUAAUAGUUGAUUUUCACGGUAGAAAGGAGAGUUUUUGAUCUUGAUGUGCUUGUGUGUGACACCUUUUCUGUUUUUCUGUUUCUUGUUCUUCCCUUGGUAUGAACUCAAAUUAUGUCGUAAGAUUGCAUGCGAGAGAGUUUGGGUGAGUAUUCAUUUUCUUUUGGAGGGGACCAGAGGAGUUGAAGUGCAACCUGUUGAUGUUUUUAUUCUGCGAGGAAAGGGUAAAUGGCCGCUGAUGUUCUUUUGAUCUUCAAUGGUUUAAUAUUCAUGAUUGGGUUGUGUUAAUCAAGGGGGUUGAAUUUGUUAAAGGGUCUUGUUUGCUUCGAAUUUGUUUCGUGUGGUUCCUGGGGUGAGUUAUAGAAGAAAGAAUGUAGAAGAAAGCUGCAAGAGAGCUUCGAGCAGGAUGCAUGAUAAUUUCUGAAUUUUUUAUUUUAGCCCCCAACUUUUGUCUAAUUGCAGUAUGGCCCAAAUCUUUUGUAAUUGAACCAUUCACGUCCCUAUUGAGUGUUCAUCUUCUCUUCAUAUUUUAAGUGCAUUUCUAAACAUGUUAUUUCUGUGAUUUGGGGUAUAAUUAAAUCUUAAUUUGUUUUAGUGGAUUUAUUAUCUUAUUGGGUUAUUGUAAAAUAGGUAGUUUGGGUUAAAGGUUUGUUUGGUCGGGUUUGGCUAAUGGGUUGUUAGUUUUUUUUUUUUUUUUGGGUUUUUGGCUUGGAUUUAGAAGGUAAAAGCCUACCCUUUUUGUUGGGUUUGUUUGGGGUAAGAUUAUGGUCUGACCCGUGCACUUUCCUUGGAUUUUCGUAAGGCUUGGGGUUUUCGGCCCAAACAAAUAAGAAAAGGGCCCAACAGUCUGUUAAGUCAAGAAGUCUGUGACGAUUUUUCAUUCCAGUCCCCUAAUUUUUGAGUAUUUUCACUACGGCCCUACAAACUUUUGACUUCUUCCACUUAGGUCCCUAAUUUAAUUGCAAAUUGGUCCUUGAACUUUAUCUUUCCUUCUAGUUUGGCCCUAAAGGUUCUAGAAAUCAUGAUUUGGCCCUAAAAACUUUCUGAUAUUUGUGAUUUGGUCCUUGGCAGAUUUAAUUUUGCAACUUCAUUGCUUGUUUGCUUCAAUUAGCCACCAUAUUUUGUUUAAACUGCAUUUAAUUCAUAAUUUUAAGGGCUUUAUGACCAAUUGAGCUUGUGUUUGCAUAUUUUCUUCAGUUUUCUCAAUUAAAGUGAUGCCUUGAUUCUUUCUUUGUUUUUGGAGGGUAAAUAAGUAAUUUCACUUCAUUAGGGUUUCAACUCAAGGGAGGUACACUCUAUCCCUUAUUUUGACUUUAUUUGAUCCUAUGUGCCCUAUGUGACUCUAUGUGCUUAAUUGCUUACCUUUUGAAUGUUUUCAUUUCAUUUAUUUAUUUAUUCGCUUUAUUUGUUUUAAUUUUGUAUACUUAUUUCAAUGUAAUUAUUUGAAAGGCAUUCAAAGGCCAAAGUUGUAAUAGUUAAGGGUUUAUUUAUUUUUAUUUUUCCCCUUUUAGAUUGUAGUAGGGCCCCCCAAUAUAAUAGUUAGGGCUUGUUUGCUUUAUUUGCUUGGUAUGUUUUGCAUGCUUAUGUGUUAUGUAUUAUCCGCUUUUUUAGGGCCUUGCAUCUAGAUAUCAUACUUAUGUGUUAUGUGCUAUACGUGAUUUAUGUGUUUACAUGCUUUUAUUAGGUCUUACAUGAUUUAUUUGAUUAUAACAAAUGCAUGUCGUCACUACACUAGUCCAACACUAGUUGUGACCCCCUUUCCCGAAUCCACACUAGUCCAACGCUAGUUGUGGCUCAUUGUUCUGAUUUUUCACUAGUCCAAUGCUAGUAGGAAUUCAUAGAUAUGAGCUAGUCCAACGCUAGACCCUUAGGAGCCCUUCGAGCGUUAGAUCAUGAUUGUGUGAUAAAAUCAUUUCAUCUCAUGCAUAUUUUUCACUUUCUAAGGUCUUUUAUCAUUUUUUGCAUGUUCCCCUUAUAUAUAUCCCCUAUCCCACAUUCCCUCUUAUAUUCGUAUCCCCUAUUUUUAUUUUUCCUUUAUAUAAAUCCUAUGUAUGAGACAUGACAUUAGAUUUGCAUUUCAUGUAGGGAAAAUUAGAGAUAGGUUAAUACAUUUGUUUGAUUAGAUUAGGAAAAACCCCUUGAGUAUGGGAUGUGGACAAGUUUGAUUUUCUAACCUUAGCACGCUCAUAUUCCCUCUGUUAAAGGGAAAAUUGAGUCACGAACAUUAGUCCCCCGUACCUGACAUGAUGCAUUUCUUUAGGACAUGUAUAUUUGUAUAAUUAUGAUUAUUUUUAUUAUUUUCCUUCCCUUUUCUUAGAGUCUCAUGUUUUUGCAUUAUUCGUGACUUCUUCGAAGAGUCUUUAUUGGGCAUCACAAUUAAUGUGAUUGGUAUCAAGUAAGUUUUGAAAAUAUAUUUCGACCCCUCGACACCCUCUUAGGUUUAGGGUUUGCAUUCAUAUAGUACGUCCAAAUGUGAUAAAUGCUUAGAUUAAAGAUAAGAAAAUCUUUGACUAAAUCACGCAACUAGUUUUGGCUAGGUUGAAAGGGUGUUUUGGAUUUUGUCCUUGCCUUCCCUUUCUUCAAAUGUGACUCCUGAACACGUUUCUUUGAUUUUCGUAAACUUGGAGUCGUUUAAAAAGGAUUUUUAACUUUUUCUUUAAAAAUUCAUUUUUAGGUGACUUGGUACACCUUAACUUUAUACCAAGUGGCGACUCCGAUUUUUAUUCAAAAAUCAUUUUUAAACUAUAAUUUGGGCCUUUCUUCAAAUGUGACUCCCGAACACGUUUCUUUGAUUUUCGUAGACUUGGAGUCGUUUAAAAAGGGUUUUCUACUUUUUCUUUAAAAAUUCAUUUUUGGGUGACUUGGUACACCUUAACUCUAUACCAAGUGGCGACUCCGAUUUUUAUUCAAAAAUCAUUUUUAAACUAUAAUUUGGGCCCAAAUCGUCGCAUUACAAAUCCCAUUUAGGCUCAUUUUCUUUUAAAUCAAAAAUUCAUUUUCCAAUCAAGAAUUGAAUUAAAAUUCAUUUUUUUAAACCAUUUAUUUUUCUUAUUUUUAAAAAAAUGGGAUGCCACAGUUUUUAGCAGCCGUUUGAUGUAUAUAACUACAACAAAUUACUUUGGAGUUUCCAAAACAUCAUGGAAGGCAUAACUAAUUACCAUUUCAGCUAGCAACAAUAUUCCAGCAAUAUUACUUCGGAUUUUCAAAAAAACUCCAUUCUUUUACUUGCUUACAGCUCUAAGCACUAAAUGUACAUUCGGUACAGUUUAAUCCAAGACAAAUAACACCUAGUUUCAACAACUUAUUCGAUCAAAUGUCAUUCUCAAAAUCUGUCAUCAUCAUUUGCAUUAGUCGUUAGCUCUUCCAACAGUAUGGCAGCUUAAAUUUGCAGCCUUUACUCCCUAAUUGCUUCGGUUAACUCUAACUUAUGGUGCCAAACACGUUUGCUAAUCACAGAGCAGUUUUAGCUAUCAUCUGUGCAAGUUUAUGGUGUCAGAAAUUGGAGGAAAUGUUGUUCCAGAAUUUAUUUCCCUCUCUCUCAACAUCACAGCAGGUUGCAUCAGCUUCCUUUUACCAAGUUUAGCUAGACUUCCUGAAAUUUUCUGACUUCCUAAGGCUCCUAUCUGUUCGGUCAAAGGUUUAACAAAUUUUCCAUGUAUUCAUUAAUAAGAGUUCCAGAAUCAGCAACAACAAUUGCACAGCCUGCUUCAUUCCCUCGGCCAACUACCUGCAAUCAGUUAAGUGUAUUUGUCCUGUUAUGUUCAUUCUAGUUUCUACUUGUUUCUUGCUCGUUGAAGUUUAAGGUCUGUGUGAUAUGUUACAACUUACUACACAGGCCUAGAAACUAAGGGUUGCAGGGAACAACUAGAAUCUCUUAUCUGUUCUGCUCAAUCAAAACCAACAGGUUUUGAAAGGUAGUGAUUUUGCAGCUGGUGCUUCCUUUUUUAUUCUCCCUCAGUUUAUAUCCUAGCUAAACUUAUAGAAUGUAUUGAUUUAACUGCAAGUUAUCCUAAGCCAAACAUGACAGUUUAUGGUUAGGAUUCAAAAGGAAACUGGAUUAUGUCUUAGGUCGGCGCAUGGCUGCAAAUUCUGAUGCACAGCAACCUGCAUCAGGUUUCUUUCCUCAGUCGAAGCUCAGUUUCUCUACUCAAACACUACUUGCAGCUUAUUCAUUCAUUCAUUUUUACCGAAUCAGCAUGAGGUUAUUGCAGAUUCUUAACAUUAUCAUCCCAAGAAAUAUUAAGAACAGUUACAAGUUCCAGUUUCUGCAAUUUCGCUUUUCUUGCAGUUUUACAAUUCCUGCACGACAUUUACUUCAGCAAAAAGCUCAAAUUCCUAGCUAAAUUUAACAUGCAGCUAGAGUUUAUCCAAUUAUACCAACUAAGCAGUGAGUUGUUAUAAGAUCUUACCUCUUUCCCCCUAAAGUUCGAUGUUGCAGGGUGCUCAAGUUUCUGUUUCAGCUCCUCAAGUCCUAACACUCGAUUCUCCCGUUUUCCUUACCUUCGUUUGCUUGAUUGUGGUUAGCUGAUGAAGAAGCUAGCCAAAUUGUCCUUCCCUCACACUCUAUUCCACUCCCUCGGUUCUGUUUUGUAGAGAUUGAAAGAAAGAGAGAAAGGAAGAGCUGUCUAGUUUCUUUGCUCUCGGUCACCGCCCAACUAAUGAAUCAGUUUCUAUUUGCUCCACUCAGUCACCGCUUAAACUUAGCAGAUGAUUUCUCUUUGUUUUCUCUCGGGUCUUAUUGAUUAAGAAUGACAAGAUUGUUUCCAUUCGGUGGCUAGUGGCAG